ensembl:lncRNA
GAAAAACGGCAGCAUAAGAAGAAGGACUUAUAAUGACUGGUCAUGGGCUGAACAUUAUCAGUUAAGCAGGCAGCAAGAGGAGAUGUUUGGCAGUUUGGAUCCUUUGAGAUCUUCAACAGAUCACUAGAGCUGUGCGAAGUCCCUUCAUGCUUCAAAUGCUCCACCAUCAUCCCCAUCCCAAAGAAACCCAAAAUUACAGGACUAAAUGACUAUAGGCCUGUGGCUUUAAUGUCUGUGGUCAUGAAGUCAUUUGAAAAACUGGUGUUAUCCCACCUGAAGGACAUUAUGGGACCCUUGCUGGAUCCUCUUCAGUUUGCCUACAGAGCUAACAGGCCUGUGGAAGAUGCAAUCAAUAUGGGACUGCAUUAUGUUCUGCAACAUCUUGACAGACCAGGGGCUUAUGUGAAGAUCCUGUUUGUGGACUUAGGGUUAGGGUUAUUUAGGGCUUUUAACACUAUCAUCCCAAACCUCCUCCUGCCCAGAUUAACUCAGCUCUCUAGGUUGUACUUCCUUCGCCAGCUGAGAAAGUUCAACCUGCCACAGAAGCUGCUGAAACAGUACUUCUCCACCAUCAUUGAAUCCAUCCUCUACACUUCUAUAACUGUAUAACUACCAAAUCUGACCUCGGAAGACUAGGCCAGACAGUCCGGACUGCUGAGCAAAUCAUUGGUACAACCCUAUACUCGCCAAGAACUGUACUUAUCCUGAGUGAACAAAAGGGCUGGCAAAAUCACUCUGGACCCCUCACAUCCAGAACACUGCCUCUUUGAACUGUUGCCGUCUGGUCAGCGCCACAGAGCACUGUGCACCAGAACGGCCAGGCACAGGAACAGUUUCUUCCCUCAGGCAAAUCAUCUUAUGAACACUUGACAAUAAUUGUGGAACACACAACACUAUUUAUAUAUACUUAUUUAUCUAACACACAUACUUAGUUUACAUUUCGCAUUUGCACAUAAUAUACCUGUAUAUACAAAACUGUCUA